AUUACCUCAACUGGUGGGCGUCCUUACCGGUGCCCGCCUGAUUGAAGUUACCCAUGCCUUUUGCGUACAAUUUGUUCUCCUCAAAAGGACGUUUAGUCCUGAGAGGAUACCAAUUCACCCAUGUAUUUGCAGUCAACGUCUGAAAACAAUAAUAAUUACAACUUUUAACAACGGAUCUCUUGGUUCU
rnacentral:misc_RNA from 1 species